rnacentral:rRNA from 1 species
CAUGCCGCGUGUGUGAAGAAGGCUUUCGGGUUGUAAAGCACUUUCAGUGAGGAGGAAAACCUUACGGUUAAUAACCGUGAGGCUUGACGUUACUCACAGAAGAAGCACCGGCUAACUCCGUGCCAGCCACCUCGGUGACUGAGCGGGCUGGCAAGGCGCAUA